CUGCCGUGUAUUGGGUGUAGCUCGUGCUCGUGCUCGUGAGUAAAAUCGAUCUUUUUAUCCUACUCAUGUCCAUAAAAACAAUAUUAUUUUUCAAUAGUAAUGUUAAAAAAAUAGUUUGUAACUAGUUGUUUUCUCAAUUAGUUUAAGUCGUACAUCUGUUCUAUGUUUAUAAUGUUUAUUAUUUAUUCAUUAUUUUUAAAUAAUGUUUUAUUAAUUGUUUUAUUUUAUCUUUUUUUUUUUCUCUUGAAUUUAUUCUGCAUUUUGUUUAUAUAUACUAAAAUUUUAGUUAAGAUUUUUUUACUCUCUAUCUCUAAUACAAGAUAUUAACUUUUUUUUUUUUUUAUUUUUAAAGCAAUUUUAUUUACAAUCUAUACAACAUUAUGUACAAUGAGCAAAUUUGAUAGUUGAUGUAAUAAGUAACAGAAUUUAGCAUUUGUGGGCAGGCACUCAACAGCACCACCCGAAAAGAUAUUAACUUAAAAGAGAUAGAUUAUCAUGUAUAUUAUUUAAAAUUUUAAUUCUUUGUAAUUUAUGAUGAUUAAAUGAAAAAUAAAAAAAAUAUAUCCACCUACUAAAUAAUUUGUAUAAAAUUUAACAUUUGAUAUAUAGUGAUGGUUAAAAUAAUUAUAUAUAUAAUAUAGAGAGUUGUUAUAUUUGCAUCG